rnacentral:rRNA from 1 species
CAGUCGCCGCGGUAAUACGGAGGGUGCAAGCGUUAAUCGGAAUUACUGGGCGUAAAGCGCACGCAGGCGGUCUGACAAGUCAGAUGUGAAAUCCCCGGGCUUAACCUGGGAACUGCAUUUGAAACUGGCAAGCUAGAGUCUCGUAGAGGGGGGUAGAAUUCCAGGUGUAGCGGUGAAAUGCGUAGAGAUCUGGAGGAAUACCGGUGGCGAAGGCGGCCCCCUGGACGAAGACUGACGCUCAGGUGCGAAAGCGUGGGGAGCAAACAGGAUUAGAGACCCGAGUAGUCCCUGUCUCUUAUAC